GAUGAACGCUAGCGAUAGGCUUAACACAUGCAAGUCGAGGGGCAGCACAAGGUAGCUUGCUAUCUGGGUGGCGACCGGCGCACGGGUGCGUAACGCGUAUGCAACUUGCCCUAUACAGGAGGAUAACCCGUCGAAAGACGGACUAAUACUGCGUAUGCUCACAACUUGGCAUCAAGUGGUGAGGAAAGAAAUUCGGUAUAGGAUAGGCAUGCGUCCCAUUAGCUUGUUGGUGAGGUAACGGCUCACCAAGGCAACGAUGGGUAGGGGAACUGAGAGGUUUAUCCCCCACACUGGUACUGAGACACGGACCAGACUCCUACGGGAGGCAGCAGUGAGGAAUAUUGGUCAAUGGGCGCGAGCCUGAACCAGCCAAGUCGCGUGAAGGAGGACUGUCUUAUGGAUUGUAAACUUCUUUUAUACGGGAAUAACAAGAGUCACGUGUGACUCCCUGCAUGUACCGUAUGAAUAAGCAUCGGCUAACUCCGUG
rnacentral:rRNA from 1 species